rnacentral:lncRNA from 1 species
ACCCACCCAUCUUCCUCCUUGCUGCACGGCCACCACACCACGAGCAAUGGCCAACCACGUCGAAUCCGGUCACUGACUUGGAAUUUGGGCGGCUGUCGAACCCCCUCCAUCUUUCCUUUGUUGAUUUCUCCUUCACCGACAAGCCUCGCCCCCGUGGCCGGAACUGCCCAUUUCCGAGGUGUGGAUGGUAGCCGGGGAGCACAGUCGGUAGCGACCAACGCACAUCCUUCCCCCUUAGUCCCCCUCCCUCUACUACCUUCCCUAGUGGAGAGCUCACUCUUUGGCACUUCCUCCAGUUCUGCUCGCAACGGCCAACACUCACUAGAAGAUAAUCUCACUUCGGGGAUUCUUCACCCGCCGGUGUGUAGUUCUCGUGGUGCUGGCAUCCACUGUGUGCGGGGCUGGCAUGUAGUUCUAGCGAAUCUGGCAUGCAAUGCAGUGCACCGCGGACCCCUAGUUAGGCAUUGUGUUGUUCGGCAAGCGUUGGCGUGCAGCUCAUCCCCCGCGCGGCAUGGAGUUCCAUUCUGCCUCCAGGGAAGUGCGCCUCCACCCAUGCGUCUCAUCAUCGUAAUUUUUUUGAAGUUCACUUUUGAUAUUUUUGCUAUAGAUUAAAAAGCAUUAGUAAAGAAAAGGGUGAAUUGAUAUCGGGAAUGCAAUUCUAUUGGUUGAUGCAGUUCACUCGGGUGUUCAUCGGAAUGCGUGACGAUGCACUCCCGCUGCUGUUGACUUGCGGUUCAUAGGCGGGUGGUGCAGAUAGUUUCCUUGUGCAGUUCUUACGCUUAUUUCUAUUUGUUUCAAAGUGAAAAAUGUAGCCCUAUUCUUUUGCUCUUGAUGUUCAUUUUACUUCUUUUGUAGGAAAAUAUGAAGUCAUGAAGUUCGACUGGAUGCCCUAUUACUCAAUUUUCUUGUUGUUAGAAACUAGACUUCAUUAGUUCAUUGUAAAAAAUGCAAUUCAUUACCACGAUGGUGUAGUUAUAUUUUAGUUAGUAUAGAUAUUUUAUGUGUGUGUGGUUGUGGAAAACAAUCAAAUAGAUAUGUAUGCUUUGAAGCUCACUUUGUUCUCUCACGUACUACGUGAAGCUACUGCUCCACACGCUGUACUCUUGUGUAUCUUGAUGCGGUGCGGUGCAUCGCCGCGUUCAGUUCGGGACCAUUUUUUGAAAUUUUUCUUAGGCACAACACCGUAGUACGCCCGAGACAUGCAGUGCAGCUGGGCAUUCAGUUGCAACAAUUUUCUUGUUGAUUUUCUAGUUUUAUAAAAAAUUUCAGUUGCAGAUCACAGCUACAACACUUACUUUCAAUGCGGUUUACUUCUAUGUGUUUACUUCUAGUUACUAUUGCGG